GACGAACGCUGGCGGCGUGCUUAAUACAUGCAAGUCGACUGAACUUAAGGUAGCAAUAUUUUAAGGGAGGUGGCGCACGGGUGAGUAACACGUAGGUAAUCUGCCUUUAGGACUGACAUAACCCAGAGAAAUCUGGGCUAAUAUCAGAUGAUGCAGCGGCUCGACAUCGAGACAGUUGUUAAACCUUCGGAGCCUAAAGAUGAGCCUGCGUCUGAUUAGGUAGUUGGCGGAGUAAAAGCCCACCAAGCCUGCGAUCAGUAGCUGGUCUGAGAGGAUGAUCAGCCACACUGGAACUGAGACACGGUCCAGACUCCUACGGGAGGCAGCAGUAAGGAAUAUUGCUCAAUGGCCGAAAAGGCUGAAAGCAGCAACGCCGCGUGGAGGAUGAAAUACUUUUGUAUGUAAACUACCUGUAAGAAGGGAAAAAUAAUUCCGAUUUAA
rnacentral:rRNA from 1 species